UACGUAGGGGGCGAGCGUUGUCCGGAGUUACUGGGCGUAAAGCGCACGCAGGCGGUCUGCUAAGUUUGGAGUGACAGUUGGUGGCUUAACUGCCAAAGUGCUUCGAAAACUGACAGACUUGAGGGCUUCGGAGGGACACGGAAUCCGGGUGGAGUGGUGAAAUGCGUAGAGAUCCGGAGGAACACCAAAGGCGAAGGCAGUGUCCUGGGGAGUACCGUGAC
rnacentral:rRNA from 1 species